AUUGAACGCUGGCGGCAUGCCUAACACAUGCAAGUCGAACGAGUAGCGGACGGGUGAGUAAUGUCUGGGAAACUGCCUGAUGGAGGGGGAUAACUACUGGAAACGGUAGCUAAUACCGCAUACCAUCGGAUGUGCCCAGAUGGGAUUAGCGAGUAGGUGGGGUAAAGGAUCACCUAGUCGACGAUCCCUAGCUGGUCUGAGAGGAUGACCGGCCACACUGGAACGGAGCCACGGUCCAGACUCCUACGGGAGGAAGCAGUAGGGAAUAUUGCACAAUGGGCGAAAGCCUGAUGCAGCAAUGCCGCGUGAAUGAAGAAGGUCUUCGGGUUGUAAAAUACUUUCAUCGGGGAGGCGUUACCCGCAGAGGAAGCCCCGGCUAACUCCGUGCCAGCAGCCGCGGUAAUUC
rnacentral:rRNA from 1 species